rnacentral:rRNA from 1 species
UACAGAGGGUGCAAGCGUUGUUCGGAAUUAUUGGGCGUAAAGGGUGCGUAGGCGGUGCGGUAAGUCUCUUGUGAAAUCUCCGGGCUCAACUCGGAGCCUGCAAGGGAAACUGCCGUGCUUGAGUGCGGGAGAGGUGAGUGGAAUUCCCGGUGUAGCGGUGAAAUGCGUAGAUAUUGGGAGGAACACCAGUGGCGAAGGCGGCUCACUGGACCGGUUCUGACGCUGAGGCGCGAAAGCGUGGGGAGCAAACGGG